rnacentral:lncRNA from 1 species
AGUUCCUGCUUGAUAUUACUGCAUGCGACUGUAUUUAUGUUGCUUAUGUUUUCAUAACUAUUUACGUUACUUUUGUGGGAGUACCUAUGCUUUAUUAGUUGAUUUUGUCUUGCUUGUGUUUCUAAUUUUAUCUCUGUUUCUUAAUGCAGCUUUCCCAUUUUACUCUACUCGCCGAGGGUCGAUUCGAAGCAGCCUCUCUGCCCUUUCGGGCAGGGGUAAGGCUCGUCU